UACGAGUGCCCCAAGCGUUAUCCGGAAUCAUUGGGCGUAAAGGGUGUGUAGGCGGUUGUGUUAGUCUUCUGUUAAAUUCUUCGGCUUAACCGGGGGCAUGCAGAGGAAACGGCACGACUAGAGGAUGCGAGAGGUGAAUGGAACUCAUGGAGUAGGGGUGAAAUCCGUUGAUAUCAUGGGGAACACCAAAAGCGAAGGCAAUUCACUGGCGCACUCCUGACGCUGAGACACGAAAGCGUAGGUAGCGAAUGGG
rnacentral:misc_RNA from 1 species